rnacentral:pre_miRNA from 1 species
UAUAAUUUUUGACUUUUCGUUUUAUUUAAUUUUUUUUUACGAUUGAUAUUUUUUAUUAAAUGAUAAAUCAUGAAUAGUACUUUACGUGUGAUUAUUUUUUUUUAAUUUUUUGAAAAUUUUUCAAAUAAAACGGAUGGUCAAAUGCUGGACACAAAAAUCGAAG